GACGGAGGGUGCUAGCGUUGUUCGGAAUUACUGGGCGUAAAGGGCGCGUAGGCGGCCUGAUCAGUCGGGUGUGAAAGCCCGGGGCUCAACCCCGGAACGGCACCCGAGACGGUCAGGCUGGAGACCGGGAGAGGAGGGUGGAAUAGCCAGUGUAGAGGUGAAAUUCGUAGAUAUUGGCUGGAACACCGGUGGCGAAAGCGGCUCUCUGGCCCGGAACUGACGCUGAGGAGCGAAAGCGUGGGGAGCGAACAGG
rnacentral:rRNA from 1 species